rnacentral:rRNA from 1 species
AACGAACGCUGGCGGCAUGCCUAACACAUGCAAGUCGAACGAAGCCUUCGGGCUUAGUGGCGCACGGGUGCGUAACGCGUGGGAACCUGCCCUUGGGUUCGGAAUAACAGUUAGAAAUGACUGCUAAUACCGAAUGAUGUCUUCGGACCAAAGAUUUAUCGCCCAAGGAUGAGCCCGCGUCGGAUUAGCUAGUUGGUGAGGUAAAGGCUCACCAAGGCGACGAUCCGUAGCUGGUCUGAGAGGAUGAUCAGCCACACUGGGACUGAGACACGGCCCAGACUCCUACGGGAGGCAGCAGUGGGGAAUAUUGGACAAUGGGCGAAAGCCUGAUCCAGCAAUGCCGCGUGAGUGAUGAAGGCCUUAGGGUUGUAAAGCUCUUUUACCCGGGAUGAUAAUGACAGUACCGGGAGAAUAAGCCCCCGGCUAACUCCGUGCCAGCAGCCGCGGU